AGUGAACGCUGGCGGCGUGCUUAACACAUGCAAGUCGCACGAGAAAGCUUCUGCUUGCAGAGGCGAGUAAAGUGGCGCACGGGUGAGUAACACGUGGGUAAUCUACCUCCGAAUUGGGGAUAACAUUGCGAAAGCGAUGCCAAUACCGAAUAACAUCCCUGGAUCUGCGGAUUCUGGGAUCAAAGGUGGCCUCUUCAUGAAAGCUACUGUUUGGAGAUGAGCCCGCGGCCCAUUAGCUUGUUGGUGGGGUAACGGCCUACCAAGGCGACGAUGGGUAGCUGGUCUGAGAGGAUGAUCAGCCACACUGGAACUGACACACGGUCCAGACUCCUACGGGAGGCAGCAGUGAGGAAUUUUGCGCAAUGGGGGAAACCCUGACGCANCAACGCCGCGUGAGUGAUGAAGGCCUUCGGGUCGUAAAGCUCUGUCAAGUGGGAAGAACCCGCAUUUGGCUAAUACCCAUAUGCGCUGACGGUACCACUGAANGAAGCACCGGCUAACUCCGUGCCAGCAGCCGCGGUAAUACGGAGGGUGCAAGCGUUACUCGGANUCACUGCGCGUAAAGCGCGCGCAGGCGGCCUUUUAAGUUGGAUGUGAAAGCCUAUGGCUCAACCAUAGAACUGCAUCCAAAACUAUUGGGCUAGAGUGUGGGAGAGGAAGAUGGAAUUAGUUGUGUAGGGGUAAAAUCCGUAGGAGAUAACUAGGAAUA
rnacentral:rRNA from 1 species